AUAAUACUCCCUUCGUCCUAAAAUUCUUGUCUUACAUUUGUCUAGAUAUGAGUGUAUCAAGUCACGUUUUAGUAUUUGGAUACAUCCAUUUUUAGACAAACCUAAGACAAGAAUUUUGAAACGAAGGGAGUAAUAA
rfam:Hordeum vulgare subsp. vulgare, WGS project CAJW01000000 data, contig: morex_contig_51363